CUCAGAAACAUAUGGGCCACACAGCGAAGAUAGCCGCUGACGGACACUUCAUUUUAAUUGUAACGAGUGGUUAGCAGCAGCCUCCAGACAACAGACACAACUGCCCAAUUGGCAGCGGGUUCGCAUCUCCUCCUGCAUCCCUCCUCCCUCCUGCUUGCCACAGCUUUUCUCCUCUCUCUACUGCCCUCCUCCCCUUGACUUUGCAGACCCUUGGGUGAGCAUCCCUGCGAUGUUGGGAGAGCCCUGCCCAGCCCCCAUGGGGUCAGUGUGGAGGAUGGAGUGGGCAGGCAGCACCCUCCCUCUCUGCAAAACAGGCACUGACUGGGUGAUGGUGGAGUACAGCCAUGUCACACCUGAUGUGCUUAUGGCCAGGAUGGCAUGAGCAGGGAAUAAGAGGGUGCUUGAGGCUGCUGCGAUGGUGGGGAGGAACCUGCACCCACCUCACCAUGGGGGACAGAGGCAGAGCCCAUGGAGAGUCCAGCACCCACAUCCCCGUUCCACGCAGCACCUUGGCGUUGCCUCACUGCCUGCCAGCUCAGCAGCAGGCAGGGUGCGGGAAGAGAGGCAGUAAACCCUCAUUUCACAUUCUCCCGGUGUCCCUCCUGUGUCAUACUUCUUUCCCUCCCCCCCACCUACCCCCCUCCCUCUUCCCAAAAGAGGUGGUUUAGCUCAGAGAGUCUUAAAACACAUUUGCAUUCCCAAGACAAGCUUAAGCAUAAAUUCAUCUCAGUGCAGGGGUCUUUUUUUUUUCCCCUUCUUUUAGUCCCCUCCCCAUCCUCCUGCUUUUCCUCCCUUCUCCUUUUCUCUCCAAACCUGAAAUGAAUUCAGCGAGAACCCUUGCGAUUCCGGCACCAUCGCGCUGCGCAGCACGGGAUUACAAGGGAUCCGAGGGCUUUCCUUUUCUUGCGACUCACAGUGUGUGGUGUUGCUGCCUGGGUUUGUUAUUAACCAUACAGAGGGAUAAGGCUCUUAGCCCUAUUAGCCACACUAACCGUAUUCCCACUUUCUUCUCCAGUCAGCCCCUACUCCCAGAAAUUGCACCUGAGCUCCAUUUUCCCCCUGGAGGGACAAAAAUAGGAGAAAAGGGGAAUCCCACAAAAAAAGAGAAACAACAGCAAAACAUUAACAUGGGGAGGCAAGCUAAAAACCUUAGGAAGACCCAAGGCUGAGCUUCAAGUCACGGAUGCUUUCUCAGAUCAUCUGUAUUCGUAUCUAGGUGCCAACAGAGCUGUGAUCAGAAUAUCCAAGGCCUCAUAAAAGAUUCAGGGCUUAUUGACUUCCUUGCCUUCACUGCUGCUUCGUGGUAUUCCUGCUCAGCCUCCAAACCACCCGCUGCCCCUUACAACUUGCCAUCGCAGAUGCCAAAGUUGAAGACAUCUACUUCUGCCACUGUAUUGGACCAGCAGAGCAGAGCAUGGGAGGAAGAGUCACCACCCAAGCUGCGGGAUGCAUUCCCGGCCCCCAGUCCUGGUGAGGGGCACUUCAGGGGAUCUUUUGCCUCAGUGGACACCCAUACCCCAGAACAGACAUCCCCACAGCCACUCCAGCAGCAGCAGCCACCAUGAUUACAGCGCCGGGAAUAAAUUACCUGUGACGUGCUGCGAUGGAAACCUUUUACCAAAUCAAGCUGAUUUGGAGCUCAAAGCUCAAAAAAAAAAACCUGACAAAACAAGAGAGGGAUUGAUUUGUGGACCGGCUGUUAAGGCACCAGAGGUGGCAAAGAUGAGGCUCAAUCAGAGAUUGAGAUGUCAGAAGAAGGGAUGUUAAAGCACGUUUGGAAAAUGAAAAAUGAGGAGUCACCAGGACCAGAUAAUACCUGCCUAAGAGUUCUGCAGGGACUCAGAAAUAAAAUGAUUGCAUAUUUUCAUUAGCAGCUCAAUCUCUCAUUACACUAGAGGACACAAAGUGUCAUACCCUAUUUUUAAAAAAUGGAGUGAGAUGAGCCACAGAUUCACCGACUUGUGAGUCUCACUUCAGUACUGGCUAAG